rnacentral:rRNA from 1 species
CACGGGGUUGCGAGCGUUGUCCGGAAUUACUAGGCGUAAAGGGCAGGCAGGCGGAUCCAUAAGUUUAUCGUUUAAGGCGUCGGCUUAACCGGCGUAGGGCGGUAGAUACUGUGGAUCUGGAAUGCGGUUGGGGAAGACAGAAUUCCUGGUGUAGCGGUGGAAUGCGCAGAGAUCAGGAGGAAUACCGAGGGCGAAGGCAGUCUUCCAAGCCGUUAUUGACGCUCAACUGCGAAGGUGUGGGUAUCAAACAGGAUUAGAUACCCAGGUAGUCCCUGA